GAAAGGAUCGCACGACCCUGUAACCCAGACGCAAUGGCGGUCUCCUCAAAAGAUUCACGAUCGCCCGUUCAGAUUAACCGGCACAAGGAUCGUUACGUCGGUUACAUCGGUAACAAGUAGAGAGAGACCCUGAAGAGGGGGUUCGAAGUGCAUAUACUGACAGUCGGUUGGUAGGGAGAUUUUUGUUCCAAUAGUGGUGGGACGAAAGUUAGGUGUUACUGAGCACCAGAAGACGAACUGGUGACCGGACGGAGAGAGGCGGAAGGGCGGGGAUCUGCGAAGAAAGGCAAGAGCUAUAAAAGAGGCACCGGUUCCGACGAUGGGCAUCAAACACCUCAACAUGAAGGUGUUCGCGAUUACGAUUCUUUUGGCGCUCGUAGCCACCGCCUAUGCCGGUUACAUAAGCAGCGGUUGGUCUGGUGGAGGUGGUGGCUGGAAUGGAGGUGGCUGGUCUGGUGGCGGUGGUGGUGGUGGCUGGAAAUACGGAGGUGGAGGUGGCGGAGGAGGUGGCGGAAAAAUUAUCAAAGUGAUCACUGUUAGCGGUGGAGGCGGUGGAUGGCCUAGUGGAGGCGGUGGUGGAUGGGCUGGAGGUGGUGGCGGAUGGCCGAGUAGUGGCGGUGGUGGAUGGAAAGGAGGAUGGAGCGGUGGUGGUGGUGGAUGGAGUGGUGGUGGUGGUGGAGGUGGUUGGUGGUAAAGGACAAACUGGGAACCAAGCGAAUAAUUAGAAGGAAAUUUUGCUCACCGAUCACCACCAGUGCACAUCUUGGCUGUAAUCACCGAUUCUCGGUUCACGAAGAGACAACCCUGACCCCUCUCCUUACCGAUUCUUUUUCUUCUUCUUUUUUUUUUUUUAUUCUUGUACGCAAGGAAAAACAUCGCGAAGGAAUAAUGCAUCCAUGGAGAAAGAAGGCGGAAAUAACGUGAUCGCGACCGGAGGAACCAUGUUUCCAUCUCGCCGAGAUAUAAGCGCAUAGAAAAGAAAAGAGAGGACAAUAGUGAAUCCAUGGACAGCAAAGAAUAAGAUCACGCUUCCGAGGUUUCUUUUCUUCCUGGCGAUGUGUACAUUUUGAAAGUGAGCUUUGGAUGUAUGUACGCUGAGAUUGCCAAUCCACUUCGAGGCGAACUUUGGAUCCGUUGUCGAAUUACACUAUCAAGAUAUAAAAAUUGUCUAGACAAAUGUGUCUAUGUAAAAGUGUUUUCUUUUGAUUAAAAAUUGAAUUUGAUGUAUUUGAUCUGUUGAGUUCGUGGAACAUCUUGUGUGAGGAUAUGGAUAUGGGUUACUCUUCGAUCAAAAUAUUUAGCAAAUAAUAUUGUAGAUAUUGUACAUUUAAUCCCAUAUCUUUAUAGUAUAUACAUGUAUGUAAGAUCCAAUUUUCAAGUAAAAUGAAAUAAAAAUAUGAAAUUGAUGUGGGAGAAAAAAUAA